rnacentral:rRNA from 1 species
UACGGAGGGGGCUAGCGUUGUUCGGAAUUACUGGGCGUAAAGCGCACGUAGGCGGCUGUUCAAGUCAGAGGUGAAAGCCUGGAGCUCAACUCCAGAACUGCCUUUGAAACUAGAUAGCUUGAACAAGGGAGAGGUGAGUGGAAUUCCGAGUGUAGAGGUGAAAUUCGUAGAUAUUCGGAAGAACACCAGUGGCGAAGGCGGCUCACUGGACCGUUGUUGACGCUGAGGUGCGAAAGCGUGGGGAGCAAACAGG